UUAAGCGACUAAGCGUACACGGUGGAUGCCCUGGCAGUCAGAGGCGAUGAAGGACGUGCUAAUCUGCGAAAAGCGUCGGUAAGGUGAUAUGAACCGUUAUAGCCGGCGAUGUCCGAAUGGGGAAACCCAGUGUGAUUCGUCACACUAUCGUUAACUGAAUACAUAGGUUAACGAGGCGAACCGGGGGAACUGAAACAUCUAAGUACCCCGAGGAAAAGAAAUCAACCGAGAUUCCCCCAGUAGCGGCGAGCGAACGGGGAGCAGCCCAGAGUUUGAAUCAGCUUGUGUGUUAGUGGAACGGUCUGGAAAGUCCGACGGUACAGGGGGAUAGUCCCGUACACCAAAAUGCACAGGCUGUGAACUCGAAGAGUAGGGCGGGACACGUGGUAUCCUGUCUGAAUAUGGGGGGACCAUCCUCCAAGGCUAAAUACUCCUGACUGACCGAUAGUGAACCAGUACCGUGAGGGAAAGGCGAAAAGAACCCCGGCGAGGGGAGUGAAAAAGAACCUGAAACCGUGUACGUACAAGCAGUGGGAGCACCUUCGGGUGUGACUGCGUACCUUUUGUAUAAUGGGUCAGCGACUUAUAUUCUGUAGCAAGGUUAACCGUAUAGGGGAGCCGCAGGGAAACCGAGUCUUAACUGGGCGUUAAGUUGCAGGGUAUAGACCCGAAACCCGGUGAUCUAGCCAUGGGCAGGUUGAAGGUUGGGUAACACUAACUGGAGGACCGAACCGACUAAUGUUGAAAAAUUAGCGGAUGACUUGUGGCUGGGGGUGAAAGGCCAAUCAAACCGGGAGAUAGCUGGUUCUCCCCGAAAGCUAUUUAGGUAGCGCCUCGUGAAUUCAUCUUCGGGGGUAGAGCACUGUUUCGGCUAGGGGGUCAUCCCGACUUACCAACCUGAUGCAAACUACGAAUACCGAAGAAUGUUAUCACGGGAGACACACGGCGGGUGCUAACGUCCGUCGUGAAGAGGGAAACAACCCAGACCGCCAGCUAAGGUCCCAAAGUCAUGGUUAAGUGGGAAACGAUGUGGGAAGGCACAGACAGCCAGGAUGUUGGCUUAGAAGCAGCCAUCAUUUAAAGAAAGCGUAAUAGCUCACUGGUCGAGUCGGCCUGCGCGGAAGAUGUAACGGGGCUAAACCAUGCACCGAAGCUGCGGCAGCGACACUAUGUGUUGUUGGGUAGGGGAGCGUUCUGUAAGCCUGCGAAGGUGACCUGUGAGGGUUGCUGGAGGUAUCAGAAGUGCGAAUGCUGACAUAAGUAACGAUAAAGCGGGUGAAAAGCCCGCUCGCCGGAAGACCAAGGGUUCCUGUCCAACGUUAAUCGGGGCAGGGUGAGUCGACCCCUAAGGCGAGGCCGAAAGGCGUAGUCGAUGGGAAACAGGUUAAUAUUCCUGUACUUGGUGUUACUGCGAAGGGGGGACGGAGAAGGCUAUGUUAGCCGGGCGACGGUUGUCCCGGUUUAAGCAUGUAGGCUGAUUAUCCAGGCAAAUCCGGAUAAUCAAGGCUGAGGUGUGAUGACGAGGCACUACGGUGCUGAAGUAACAAAUGCCCUGCUUCCAGGAAAAGCCUCUAAGCAUCAGGUAACAUCAAAUCGUACCCCAAACCGACACAGGUGGUCAGGUAGAGAAUACCAAGGCGCUUGAGAGAACUCGGGUGAAGGAACUAGGCAAAAUGGUGCCGUAACUUCGGGAGAAGGCACGCUGGUGUGUAGGUGAAGUCCCUGCGGAUGGAGCUGAGACCAGUCGAAGAUACCAGCUGGCUGCAACUGUUUAUUAAAAACACAGCACUGUGCAAACACGAAAGUGGACGUAUACGGUGUGACGCCUGCCCGGUGCCGGAAGGUUAAUUGAUGGGGUUAUCCGUAAGGAGAAGCUCUUGAUCGAAGCCCCGGUAAACGGCGGCCGUAACUAUAACGGUCCUAAGGUAGCGAAAUUCCUUGUCGGGUAAGUUCCGACCUGCACGAAUGGCGUAAUGAUGGCCAGGCUGUCUCCACCCGAGACUCAGUGAAAUUGAACUCGCUGUGAAGAUGCAGUGUACCCGCGGCAAGACGGAAAGACCCCGUGAACCUUUACUAUAGCUUGACACUGAACAUUGAGCCUUGAUGUGUAGGAUAGGUGGGAGGCUUUGAAGCGUGGACGCCAGUCUGCGUGGAGCCAACCUUGAAAUACCACCCUUUAAUGUUUGAUGUUCUAACGUUGGCCCCUUACCGGGGUUGCAGACAGUGUCUGGUGGGUAGUUUGACUGGGGCGGUCUCCUCCCAAAGCGUAACGGAGGAGCACGAAGGUUAGCUAAUCCUGGUCGGACAUCAGGAGGUUAGUGCAAUGGCAUAAGCUAGCUUGACUGCGAGCGUGACGGCGCGAGCAGGUGCGAAAGCAGGUCAUAGUGAUCCGGUGGUUCUGAAUGGAAGGGCCAUCGCUCAACGGAUAAAAGGUACUCCGGGGAUAACAGGCUGAUACCGCCCAAGAGUUCAUAUCGACGGCGGUGUUUGGCACCUCGAUGUCGGCUCAUCACAUCCUGGGGCUGAAGUAGGUCCCAAGGGUAUGGCUGUUCGCCAUUUAAAGUGGUACGCGAGCUGGGUUUAGAACGUCGUGAGACAGUUCGGUCCCUAUCUGCCGUGGGCGCUGGAGAAUUGAGGGGGGCUGCUCCUAGUACGAGAGGACCGGAGUGGACGCAUCACUGGUGUUCGGGUUGUCAUGCCAAUGGCACUGCCCGGUAGCUAAAUGCGGAAGAGAUAAGUGCUGAAAGCAUCUAAGCACGAAACUUGCCCCGAGAUGAGUUCUCCCUGAGACUUUAAGUCUCCUGAAGGAACGUUGAAGACGACGACGUUGAUAGGCCGGGUGUGUAAGCGCAGCGAUGCGUUGAGCUAACCGGUACUAAUGAACCGUGAGGCUUAACCUU
rnacentral:rRNA from 1 species